rnacentral:sRNA from 1 species
ACGUCUAUGCUAUAAUGAAGCUGAGAGAGUUUUAAGCGGUUGGCUUAGUAUAGAAAGAGGGGUGAUGCCGAUGAUACAGGGCAAUUCCCUAUCAAACUAGAAAGGCUAGAUUUUUUGAGUAUUUCCAACAGCUUAAGCUUGAUGCUCGCCUUUGCGGGCUUCAUCCUGAUGCUGCUCCAUCUCAU